AUUGAACGCUGGCGGCAGGCCUCACACAUGCAAGUCGCACGAGUGGCGGACGGGUGAGUAAUGUCUGGGAAACUGCCUGCUGGAGGGGGAUAACUACUGGAACCGGUAGCUAAUACCGCCUACCAUCGGAUGUGCCCAGAUGGGAUUAGCUAGUAGGUUGGGUAAAGGCUCACCUAGUCGAAGAUCCCUAGCUGGCCUGAGAGGAUGACAAGCAACACUGGAACGGAGACACGGUCCAGACUCCUACGGGAGGGAGGAGUGGGGAAUAUUGCACAAGGGGCGGAAGCCUGAUGCAGCCAUGCCGCGUGUAUGAAGAAGGCCUUCGGGUUGUAAAGUACUAUCAGCGGGGAGGCGUUACCCGAAGAAGAAGCACCGGCUAACUCCGUGCCAGCAGCCGCGGUAAUUC
rnacentral:rRNA from 1 species